UUUUACAGACAUGUUAUCUAAUUAAGAUUAACUUCCGCGUAUCUGUCGCGCCGUGAAAUUAUACAUGGGGAUCAUUAUGUAAUAUACAAGAGUGAUUUUAUUUUUCAAAGUAUGCAACGUAAGUUGAAAACUUUAUUCUUAGUAGAAAAAUGUAGUACUGCGGACACACACACACACACACACACACGCACACACACAUACAUGUGCUUUAACAGAUCUAAAAAGGAAUUCUUCCUGUUAAGAAAACUUCUUGUUAAGGAUAAUUUUUUGUUGAGGAAGCAUUUUGAAAAUAAUUUUAAAUAAGCGUAUUGCUCGAGUGCGGUACGACAGCAAAGGAAAUAAAAAAUUGCCUUCCGAUAAUUGUUGACUUUGUUGUUCUUGUGCAUACAAGUAACUUUUCAGAAAUAAUAAUUUAUAAAUAAAGUAAUAACAAUUUUUUCACUGAAAAAUUGAUUCUUUCCACGUGAAUUGCAAAGUUCACGAGAGAUGUCGCUAACGUUAAAGCCUACAAGUGUCAUCGGCACUGUACAUAACCUCCUCAAAUAACCUCUUGUUUGUUUGCAGUAUGACAAUGUUUGAUGUUUGAUGUGUUGUUUGGUUAAUAAUAUUUGUAUUUCUAUAAGUGUGGAAUAUUCGACAUGACGAGAAAUAUAAUGAAUUAUAAGUUCCGUUAUUAAUACAUAAAAUGUAAAGAAUGAUUUGUUCCUGACAGGGUAUUGUAAUUGUUAAUCAUUUGUCAAAGAGAGUCGCAAUGGCACCACUAACAGAUUUACUUUCUUGUAGUAUAAUAGAGAAAGACUGCAAUGGAGAUGUCUUAUGGACAUGGUCAUAUCCAACUGUGACGGAAUCUCAGAAGACAGUAGUUAUGAGGAAAUGUAAUUUGAAAUUAGAGCACAACUCUCCUCAUGUAUUUGUAUGCGCCAGGCAUGGUCAUGAUUGGUUUUACAUAUAUUGCAGUGAAGUAUUUGAUUCCGAUAAGUUGCCAAAAGUAAAACAGUUUGCAUUGGUACUGUUUGCAAAGGACUUUAAUCCACAAAAGUAUGAAGUACUUUCAAGAGUUCUCAGCAAAAUGUAUUGCAAGACUGGAAAGCCGACAGAAAUCUUGCAACUUUAUCUUUCUGUAUUUACCAAAGGAUCAUACUCAACACAGGAGAAUGGGACUUUUGUCUCUGAUGACUUUAACACUCAUCGUUUUGCUGCUAAUACCAAUGUCAGAGAACUAAUCAAGACAUUUGAAUUAGAGACUAUUUUGAUAUACACUGCCCUCCUAUUGAAGAAGAGAAUUGUUGUGUAUCAUCAUAGCUUGGAGCAACUCCUCAAGUGGAUCAGAACAUUUCCCGCAUUAAUGAGGCAUAGAAAGGUUACUGAUAAUCUUUUUCCUUGGAUUGAUUUGGUAAACGAUGAGUUAACUGAAUUAAAGAGACAUCCAUACUACGUCGCAGGCUGUAAUAAUAGCUCGAUAUCUUCAAGAACGGAUUUGUAUGAUUUACUCGUAAAUAUUCCCGCCAGAGAAAUUACUGUGACUUCACAUGCAAAAGAAAGCCUUACAAAUGACGAAAACUCACAAGGAGAUAGCCUUGUUUAUGGUCCAGUUGUGUGAAAAUCAAAAUUAUACAGAGGCGCAAAUUAUAUCCGAGAUAAGCGACAAGAUGCAGGAUCUCCUGAAUCAGCUGACAUCGCUGGCAACAGUGCAAGCUCCAGAUGGCAGGAAAAUGAUAUCUGUGGAGAUAUUUAGGGAAAAGAACUUGGCACCGGCCGUAGAAAAUUUCCUUAUUAACUUGGCCAUUGCGGAGAACCUAUUUAUGUUAUAAUAUGUAAAGUGUCUAUAUUUUGUACACUCACGGACAUAAUAAUACUGUGUGUCAAAGUAUUUCUUGAGAAGAAGGAGGUAGGAAAAUAUAAUGAAGAAGAUACGAAAAGAAGAGCAGAAACGAAGAGAAAAAAAUAAAAAGAAGAGAAAAAACGUGAGGAGGAGACAGAAGAAUGUUUAGCCAGUCUAUGUAUUUGGUUUGGUAUCCGUAUUUGCAUCAUAAAUUUCAUCCUCUCCAUCUACUCCUUCCUCUUCCAUGUCCAUGUCUGUAUGUCCCAAAAUUCAAAAUUCGCUAUAACAUGUGCUUCUGUAUCUAAUAUCAUUGCUUCUGCUAUAGAAGCUAUGGCUGUUGCUGAAACAAUAAAUCACAUAUAAAUGUAAAACAGAGUCGUAACUAUCGUAAUGCAGCUUAAUUCUCUUAAUUAAGUUCGUAUUGUUUUAAACAUAAACAUGUUUAUUUAUCUCUACCUUUUUCGGAUGUUUCCCCCGGAAUAUAAAGCUUAUAUCGGAUGAUUUUUGUCUGUUCUGUGUUCCCUCAUUUCCAUUUAAUGCUGGAGUAUUCAUUUCAUCUGAGUCUGUAUUAUUAUUCAAACCAAGCAGUGAUCGCACUCUGUUUGAUCGUACAUCUAUAAUUGUGUCAGUAUACCCAAUCUUUUGUAAAUAUCUGCAAUAAAACAGUUUCUUUUAUAUUCUAGUUUUGUACAAUGAAGUUACAUGCUUGUUUUUCAGCAAUCUCCAAUUUUAUGUAGAGUGGCUAAACAUUCUUCUGCCUCCUCC